UUCAAAGCCAGGGGGCAGGAAGGGGGUUCGGCCACAGAGGGCUCCGGCUCCCGGUAGGGUUGUGGUGGGCAGAAGCCCAGGCUGACUGGGGAGAGAACAGACAGGUGAGGGGCUUGGUAGAGAAGAGAGGAUCCAGCGGGGUUUCUGGAAGCUUCCCUAUCCAUGAGACGGCUGGAACCUGGAGACUCCGUCCCUCCCAUCGCAGACGUGUGGCAGAGCGGGGCUGCCCCGACCACCACUGCUGUACCGCCCUCCUGCCCUAUUAAGGUAAUUGCAGGUGAUGCCAGCCAAGCGCCACUGCCCGCUGAGUAACGUGUGUCUUAGCGGAACUGGGAGGACCGAAUUGCCCUGCCAAUUAUCCCUCUGGAGUUGUCUGCCUGCCCCACCUGGGCCAGUCCCUCUGAAUUCCACGCCUCAUCCACUCUCCUACAGGGACAAAGGGCACUGGGAGCCGGAGCCCUCUGUGGCCGAACCCCCUUCCUGCACCCUGGCUUUGAACAUGAGCCAGUGGAGACCUUCUGCCCAGGGACAGCUCUUGGAGCUGCAUCAGAAUGGUCCCCGGUGGUCUGGGCCGCUCCAGGCCUCUCCUCCGACAGAUUUGGCUGCUGGUCUUGGGGGUGUGGGUGGUCCUAGCCCUGCCUCCCACCCCCACCCCAGCAGGCCGGUCCCUGCUGUUGUAGCUCAGGGCUCCAGGCUCUCCACUCCCAGCUGGUCCCAGCUCUGCGGGGAAACAGGCCAGGUGGGUGGAACAGGGAGGAGGUCAGGGAGCUGCAGGUGGAUGCAGCCUAACAGUCUCGGCGGCCUGCCCAGGCUUAUGCAACCCUCCCCCUCGGCAGGACCGCUCGCUGGGGCAUGUCGGGCUGGGCUCCCUCAGCAGCGGCAGCACCGAUACCUGGCAGCCCUUGGAUGCAGCCACGCCCCACGGCAGGCACCUCACACCGAGCGGGCCAGGGAGGCUUGGCUUCAGACCCUAAGCCCAGUGCUGACUACAGACGACCAGAAAGAGAGCACUCUUGAGGGACACAGAGAGACAAUUCUCAAAGCCAACAGAGCUGGGGCAAAUUUUUCAACUUAAUAUUUUUCUUCCAAAGAGCCUGAGCUCAGCACUUGAAACCCGUAAGCUAAGGAUAUCCUCCAAGCUUCAGAAGGAAAAAUCACCAGGGGCCUAUGACCUAAAGGAUGAGUGAGCUUCUGAGGGAGGCUGAUGUGGGAUUGCAGAAGCAGGAGCAUGGCCCUGUGCACCCUGCCGCCCCGCAGUCGGCGAGGCAGAGAACGGGCAAGGGCCCAGGCAGGAGGGCUGCUGCCCUCACCUCUUCUCCCAGAGGACAGGGACGUGGGGGAAGCAGAGGAACGUGGUUGUGGAGCAAGGGUGCGUUUGACAGCGCUGAAGUUUCGGGAGAGGCCCCAGCCCUCGCCCCCUCAAAAUACAACAAAGGUCUGAGAGAAGAAUGCGCCCGCCGCCGCCCAGAACCCGUCCUGCAGGCACUGGCGUCCGUCUGUCCGGGGGCCUUUAAUGGGCCACCUCAUUCCUAGGGUUGAUUCACCAGCGCCUGGCCCAGGCCUGGCCUCUGGGCUGGCAUUGCACCUCUCUCUGAGCCUGAGUGUCGGGGUCUGGCUGUCUACCCCGGCUUGUUCCCCUGCCACAGGAGCUGUCUGGCUGGGGGUGGGCAGGGGCGAUGGUGAGCUUCUCAUGCAGGCUCACCAGCUAUUGGAGACCUUGGCUGAGAAUUCAAAGCUGGAUGACAUUUUCCAUUUCUCAAUCCAAGUGGAGACAAACAGGAACCCCUACCCUCCUCUGCCUGUCAGUACUGGAUGGUGUGAGCGAGGUCCCCCAGCCGCACCACAGCAGGAGACAGCAGAUGAGGGACGGGCUGAGCCCACAACAGUGGCUGCUCUGGGCUGUCCUGCUCCACCAGAGGGAAGGCUCAUGGUCAGGGUCCUGAGAUCCAUGCAUUUGGGAGGUAGACCUGUGUCCUUUGCCCGCCUCUGCUGUUCCACACAAACCUGGCCGAGCUGGUGCUGGGAGACCGGGGCCAGAGAGAGUGGGCCUGCCUGCUUUGGCUCUCUGGUCCACCUCCACCCUGAGUGAGGGGCAGAGGAGGCUGGACGGGCAGCCACCCGCCGCCAGGGUGGGGAUGUUUGCCUCAUCCCACCCACCCUGCCAAACCUGUCUCCCUGCCACCCCCAUGAGCAUGUCCCUCCUGCGGCCACACGCACAGGGAGUGCGCACUGGCGUGCCACCUGGCACUGAGUGUCGCUGAGUGGCAGGAGGCAGGAAGCAGAACUGGUUGGGCCCUGCUUGUGGUGCUCUCUGUCCCUAAUUAGAUGUUUCCGGCAAGGCGGUGGCGCUGUGACCACUCAUCACCCACCCACAGCUGUGGAGUAUGGCAAGGCCAAACUAGCCUGGCCCUCUUCCUACUGCCUGGGGGCUUAUGGGUCCCCUCCUGCUAGCCCAACUUGCCUCUACCUGGACAAUGUUUAGGGCCAGGCCCAGAGCAGAGGCACGGACACCGAGGAACCGUGUCCAGGGCAGUUGCCCAUCGAGGCCUGUCUCCUGCCUUAGCCUCUGUAAGUCCUCCAUGUCUUGGAUGGAAAGCUGUUGGCCCAGAUGUUGGGCAUGAGGCCUGUCCCUGGCUCUCUGGAGAGAGCAAAUGAAGCAGAUGCAAGGAUGACCCCCUCCUGGGCCCCGCUGACCACAUGGGUGCUGCCCCGGAACAUGGGUGUCAGCCCAGUUCUGAAGGUGAGACGGGGGCCCAGCAUGUCAGCACAGUGCAGCUGCUUUUCAGCAAGGGCUGGUGCCCCCGUGCCCAUCUCCUCUGUUCCCUGUAGGUCAGCUAGCAAAUCAUCCAAAAGGACCCAGCACCAGCCAGAGGCAGGCCAGCCCAGAAACGCAUGGGCCAGUCUCUGCUCUUUCUGUUCCCACUGUGAACUUCCAGAAGUUCCUUCAGACAGUAUAUUUUCCCUCUUUCCCAACCACUUUUCACUGGGUAUCCACAAAGAAGUUAAAACUGUGCCUUGGACCUCCUGCCAGGGUGCCCGCCCAGAACAGUGGGGGCAGUGCUUCCUGUGGCAGCCCCCACCCAGCCGGGCACAGGCCCAGUGUCCCUGUGGGACUCCAUCCAGGACUUGCUGAAAUGGCCGAUGAUACAAAGGAGCCCCGACUUCACCCAUGGCCAGCUUCCCUCGCCAUCCUCCCUGCGGCCAAAGGACUUGCCCUCACCUGUUCUUUCCAGGACAAAUCCUCUGCCAGGUUUCUGCCUCAGGACACCCAAGCUCAGCACAGACAGCCUAGCAGCCUGGGUGACAGGAUCCCGGCGGACAGGAUUCUCUCCUUGCCAGAGAGAUGAGGACAAAUUCUCCCUUCAUCCUUGAGACUGGACUCCCGCCACACAUCCUGGAGGAGCCUACAGAGAAGCCGGCAGGUCUCCCUCACCUGGACGGUGGCAGCCGGUGGCCCGGACCACCCAGAGGCCCUCCCCUGCACCUGAUGGGACAGCCCCUGGGGCAUAAGUCUCCCCUGCCACUUCCACUGUGGCCACUAGAACUGUGGUGGAGAAAAUCGCUAGGACACAAAGAAGUCAAUGAUUUCAACAAACGGAAUGUCUUUGUUCUUUGUAAAAGUCAACACAUGAUCUGUUACUGAUUGGGAUGUGAAAUAAAACUAAAAAUAACAGCACACUGAGCCUGGCUCAGAGCUCAGCUCACCUUUA